rnacentral:rRNA from 1 species
GCAGCAGGGAGCGGUAAUACGGAAGGGUGCUAGCGUUAAUCGGAAUUACUGGGCGUAAAGCGCACGCAGGCGGUUUGUUAAGUCAGAUGUGAAAUCCCCGGGCUCAACCUGGGAACUGCAUUUGAAACUGGCAAGCUAGAGUCUCGUAGAGGGGGUAGAAUUCCAGGUGUAGCGGUGAAAUGCGUAGAGAUCUGGAGGAAUACCGGUGGCGAAGGCGGCCCCCUGGACGAAGACUGACGCUCAGGUGCGAAAGCGUGGGGAGCAAACAGGAUUAGAUCCCUGGUAGUCCACGCUGUAAACGAUGUCGAUUUGGGGGUUGUGCCCUUGAGGCGUGGCUUCCGGAGCUAACGCGUUAAAUCGACCGCCUGGGGAGUACGGCCGCAAGGUUAAAACUCAAAUGAAUUGACGGGGGCCCGCACAAGCGGUGGAGCAUGUGGUUUAAUUCGAUGCAACGCGAAGAACCUUACCUACUCUUGACAUCCAGAGAACUUAGCAGAGAUGGAUUGGUGCCUUCGGGAACUCUGAGACAGGUGCUGCAUGGCUGUCGUCAGCUCGUGUUGUGAAAUGUUGGGUUAAGUCCCGCAACGAGCGCAACCCUUAUCCUUGUUGCCAGCGGUUCGGCCGGGAA